AGACUUUGAUCCUGGCUCAGGACGAACGCUGGCGGUGCGCUUCAUACAUGCAAGUCGAACGAUGAGGCUCUUCGGAGUACAUCAGUGGCGGACGGGUGAGUAACACGUAGGUAACGUGCCCUUUACUGGGGGAUAACAGAGGGAAACUCCUGCUAAUACCGCAUAAGACGUCGGUUGAAAUACCGCCGUUUAAAGAUUUAUCGGUAAAGGAUCGGCCUGCGUCGGAUUAGCUUGUUGGUGAGGUAAUGGCUCACCAAGGCGACGAUCCGUAGUUGGUCUGAGAGGAUGACCAGCCACAGUGGGACUGAGACACGGCCCACACUCCUACGGGAGGCAGCAGUAGGGAAUAUUGCGCAAUGGGCGAAAGCCUGACGCAGCGACACCGCGUGGAGGAUGAAGGUUCUAGGAUUGUAAACUCCUUUCGGCAGGGAAGAAUACUGACGGUACCUGCAGAAGAAGCAUCGGCGUA
rnacentral:rRNA from 1 species